rnacentral:lncRNA from 1 species
AGUGAGUGAAUUCAGCAAUCUAUACAACCAAUGCUGAUUAUUAUUAUUAUUAUCACCCAUCCUGCUUCCUAUUCAUCCCACUCUGUUUUCCAAAGCAACAUCGCCAGGGCAGACAUCUAAUUCUACAGCAGCAACUGGGUCUCGGACAUUUUGGGCAACUGGGUUUCGGACAUUUUGGGCAACUGGGUCUCGGACAUUUUGGGCAUCUGGGUGCUCGCCAGCAACAUUUAACACAACUUGAGCAUCUGGGUCUCCAGCAUUCUGCGCACCUGGGACCCCACGAGCAUUUUAUGCACCUGGGUCUUAAACAUUCUGGGC